CCUACGGGAGGCAGCAGUAAGGAAUAUUGGUCAAUGGACGCAAGUCUGAACCAGCCAUGCCGCGUGAAGGAUGACGGCCUCUGGGUUGUAAACUUCUUUUAUGUGGGACGCGGUACCAUAUGAAUAAGCACCGGCUAACUCCGUGCCAGCAGCCGCGGUAAUACGGAGGGUGCAAGCGUUAUCCGGAUUCACUGGGUUUAAAGGGAGCGCAGGCGGAUUGGUAAGUCAGUGGUGAAAGGCUUAAGCUUAACUUGGGAACUGCCAUUGAUACUAUCAGUCUUGAAUGUUGUUGAGGUUUGCGGAAUGGGUCAUGUAGCGGUGAAAUGCAUAGAUAUGACCCGGAACACCUAUUGCGAAGGCAGCAGGCUAAACAAAAUUGACGCUGAGGCUCGAAAGCGUGGGGAUCAAACAGGAUUAGAUACCCCAGUAGUC
rnacentral:rRNA from 1 species